CCCUUUUUUUUUUUUUUUUAAACUGAAGCGCAUAUUUACCUUGUUCCAAUACAUCUCCCUUCAUUACAAUUAACAGAUGAAUCUGUUAUUUGGUGCAAGUCAGAGUAAAAAGGUCCAGUUAAAUAUCAGCUGGGAUGUUAAGGUAGCUAUAAAACUUUACCUCUAAGUCAAAACAAUAUAACUUCACUGUAGAACACCUUCCCAGCUGGUUAUUCAUUCCCUCUACCCCACCAAUAUGACCUGUGUAAUACCAAGCACAGAGGUGGCACGGUGCCUUUUACUUGUAACUACCGAAAGGUACGGUCUUCCAUUUGUAUUUUCCAGAAGCCUUACAAUGGGGAAGAAAAAAACACACUGAACAUACGUGGUGGCAGAACCCAACUCCCUCUGAGCAUCAUCAUUUAAAGGGCAUAUAUCAUAAAUUUCUACCGCUAUUUCGAUUGAUGUUCAGGCUUGUAGCUUGUGCUAAUAAUUUGUUCUAAUAACAGGAAGCACAAGUCCGCCUAAAUUUAUGACGUCACAACUUGGAUGCAAAACUCUGGCGUUGAUUGUAAUAUUACGUCCAUCCAAGACAAAAAUAGAGAUGCUAAAGACUUGAGAUGGAGAAAGUUGGAAGAAAUGUUUUCUAGGAGUGGUAACUUGGAGAACUAGCACCCUAUAGAGUCCAAUUCAGCAAAAUGGUGAAUUGGGAAAACUAAACAGCUGGUAGCAUUCAGUUCUGUCAUUUUUACUCUGAUGUGGUUAUGUCUCACUUUUGUACACAUAAUAGGUCAGUGUUUUUGUUUUGUUCUUGUGAGGGCUUAACUGCAUCACAGUAAUGUAGCUGUAGAAACAUUACUCCAAUCUGUCCCGCCGCUCAAACUUUAUCAGUUUAUUUUCCCCACAAUUGCAAUUUUGGCCCUAACAAAUCACUACAAUAAUUGUACUUCUCCUAGAUAGAAGGGAACCUAAAAUACUGACGUUAAAUCCGAUCGGCACCAGUCCUCCUGCGACUCUGCUACGAUAAACAAAGCGAUGAUGGAUGGAUAUUCAAUCAGGCUUUAGCUGCAAACACACUCAUCCAUUUGGCUCAGACACAUAGAAAAAAAAUUAUAGCUGACGCUGUCAUCGCUAAAUGUUUAGAGUGGCUACAAAUGUUUUGUUUUUUUUGCUGUCAUUGUGAUUUUAAAGAAAAUAAUGGAUCUCAAGAAUGGCUCUUUAAUAUGAUAUUUGCCCUUUAAAUUAUGUUUCAAAUUAAAAGUAAAAGCUUAAAUAACUGCCUUUAGAUUCGCUUGGAUUUCUCCACACAUUUCCCGUGACUUUUAGGGUCGCAGAAGACAUUGCACACUACUGGUGCGAUUUCCUUUAGGCACAUCAAACGGUGAACAAACGAUCGCUAGACUGAAAGCACAAAUCCAAAGAAGGCACCUCGGAGCUCGGAGGGCUCUCCGAACCAUAAGAAGCAAAAUCGACCAAAUUUAGGCCAAGAUGUGAGGGAGAAAAUAAAAUAAAAAUAAAACCCCCCCCACAGAAAUCGUGAGGCUUGAUUAUUAGAAACACAGUAACUGUAGAGAGACCGCUGUCUGAAAUUCCAGAGCUGCUUCUGAUUAUUCCUCUCAGCCUUCUGGGUUAUUCAUCUAGUAACUUCUUCACAGUGCAAACCAAGUUGUCAUCAAACUUUAGGGUGAACUGUUUGUUGUGACUGUGUUGCAAAUUGAUUGUGGAGAUAGUAUUGUGUUAUUUUAGGGUAGACUGAACUAGAAAUAGGAUUGCAGUUUGUAGCUGUGUGCAGUGUUAAUAACAGUGUGAUCAUAAUCUAGAAGUGACGUAACAUUUGUUGUCUUACUACGACAUUAAGGCAUGAAAAUCUUCUGUCAAGCUGACCUUGUUUGAAAUAGGUAUAAGUGCAAUAACCUUUUGUUUAUCAUCGCUUCCUCGGUUGAGUAAAAAAAAAACCUCAUGAUCCCUUCUCCUUUCUUUUGAUAAAAAAAAACAAAAAAAAAGACACCAAAAGUCACUGAUCUGUAGCAAAUGAAGGAUUUCAGCGGUCCUCUUGUUUGUAUUCAGAGGUGGCGUUUAAACGUGAGAUGUGAGAUUCUGUUCUUAAAACUGUGAUUUAAAAUGAAAGUUUAAAAGCUGCCUGCUCAAACACAGGACCGUGCACAAGUUGAAAAGUUGGAAUAGAUUUUUUUUUGUUUUAAUGGAUGGACUUUGAUGGGAUUGUAAUUUGGACUAGACACGUUCCUUUGCAUGUGUUCGUGUGUUUAUAUGCAUCCUCGAUUCCUCCUUCGUAGUCGGUGAUAUGAGGGGAAAAAAACUAAAAGGAAAUCUGAAAGGCCUUAUGUUGUUCUCAAUGUUAAGCAUUAAGGUUGUUUUUUUUUCACUCCCCCUCCCUUUUCAGUGUGUAGCCGAAAGCUUGUACAGUCAAACCCACAGGAGAUUUCCACCCGUGCGUUUGUAACUCGGAGGUUUUUAGAGAAACAUUCCCCCCUGAAAGUUCAGUUUGUUUUCACCAGCAGAAGAUGCGUUACCGGGGAGCAGAGGGGAGAUCGCGUUUACACAGAAAGGUGGAAAGUGGAUUUUGGAAACACUUUGCGGUGUUUUCUGUUGAAAUGAAUGAAACCAAGUAUUGUACGCAGGUGAAGUAAGACGGUUAUAUUCUGAUGGAGCACCUUAUUGACUUGCUCCUUCUGCGAGUCUCCUAUUGAUCUUGAUUACUCUAAAGCAGAGCCAUAUCAGAGAAUUUGCCCAUUAGGAGCCCCCAUGAAUGUGCUUUUAGCUGUAGGAUGUAUAUUGCAUGUUUUGUGAUACUUUAGUUGUAUUUGUAGUCCCUUUCAUGUUUUUUUUUUUCUCCUUUCUCUCUUUGGUUUAGUCUGCUUCACUGAAGAUUUUACCACCUUACUGCAACUCAUGAGCUUUUAACAAUACUCCAUCAACUGGACUUUAGGCAGGUGUUGAUCUGCUGCUGAGGCAGCCUUAAUUUAUUACAAAUUUAAAGAAAAAUAAUAAGAAUUGAAAAGUAAACCAUGGUUUAUCUGGGAAAUAAAAACGGAGCCCUUGUACGUGGAAGGACUCUGAAUCAGGGCAUGUGAUGAAUUACAAUCAAAUUAUUACCACGAUGCACCUUCACAAGCAUAGGAGGAGGGAAAACGUUGGCUUGUCCACCUGACAUUCCAAAUUUGAUUUAUUUUUUCUUCCACGGUCCUGUCUUUUUUUUUUUAUUAUUAUUAUUUCAUUUUGCUUUUCUGGUGAAUAAAGUGUGUCAAUGACAGGGUUCCCUAUUUAGCAUAACGCUGAUUACCUCAUUUACAAGUCUGCAAAUAUACUAUUCUACUGUGUGUGAAGGAGUUGAUGCCAUCACCAGCAGCGCGGUCUCCAGACCUGUGAUGACAACAGGACCAAUGAAUUUACUCUGCUCACAUCAGCCACUUUCAGAUGAACAACCGAACUAGAAACAAGCGGUUGGAAACAUGAUUGAACUUUUAUUUUGGCGGGCCAAAAACAGCCGUCGACGAUUUACUUCAGUUAAAAGCCGCAGCAGCUGCUAAUCCAGUCAACACGUACAGAUGCAUCUCGAUUCAGCAGAAAACCGCCAUGAAGUUAAAUUGUUUGAACAUAUUUAAAGCUUUUAUUCCUGCUGACUUACUGCUACUGAAAAUCCCAAAAGUCGUUUUUCAGAAGCGAUAUGAUCAGAGCUCCUUUGACAUGAUCUGUUCGCAAUUAAGGAAUCUACUCAAAACAUUUAAACCAACUUUGCUUCACAAUCCUUUUCCAAACAGUUUUCCUUCCACUCAACUUUCCAUGAAUUGGCUUGCAUACAGUACAAACAUUCAUCUUUGUUAAAGUGACGUUUUAUGAAUGUUUCCAAAUUAACUGAAUCUUCAUUAGCUGUAAGCCAUCAUCGUCAGAAAGAACGGAAUAGAUUCUUGAAGUUUUGUCUGAUUUCAGUAUAGAGUGAGUUUCUCUUUUUAAAUUGAGAUGCACCUGUGUCGUCAGAUUACAAAAUUUUAUUUAGAAAAUAAGAUUAAAAAUCUACCAGCUCAAACACUGACUGGGGUGGCAGCUGUUGGCGCUAACUAUCGUGGUUCAGUAAUCCUGGCGUAUCACAGAUAUUUCAACAUUCUAGCAUUGCUCGCUGUUUUGUUUUUGUUUCUUCGUAGCAUUACUCCUACCUCCUUGUUUUGCAGCAUUGAGUAUUGUUCGUCUCUCCACCUGUUCUGGCUUUUAAUGGGUCAGUCCACUGUACGGGAAUACAGAUUUAUCAUGAGCAAUUGUAUACUUAUACAUAAAGUGUGCUUGGAUGUGCUGUACAUGUCUACUUGACGUUUAAAAAAAAUAUAUUUAUGAGAAGCAUUUAUACGACAAAAUACCACUGGAAUGUGAAGCCAGACAAAGUUGUGAUGCAGAUUAUGAUAGUCUCUCCCCUUUAACAUUCAGUGGUGAAUGGUCAGAGGAACCAUCUUUAGUAAAGUAAAUGAUUACCUUUUCUUUUUAGUUUAUUUCAUUUUUCUGUGUAUGCUUUUCUGUCCAGCCCUAUAAUAUGAGAUAAUUCAACGUUUACAGCUUCAUUUAGGCUCAUGCAGCUGUACCGAUAUCACAGGUUGUCACGAUGAAGAUGGGUAGGUGGAUUCUGUUUUUGAGGGUUGGAGGGGAGGAAAGUCAGUCUGUGUCCCUCAAGCUGUUUGCCUUUGAAUCCAACUGUCCAGAUUCUGGCUGCUUAGGCGUCCGUCUCUCCACACUGCCCUCACAUUUUACACCGGGUUUGACUUACAAGGGGUACAGGACAAGGUGAAAGGUUUGAGGUUUUCUCCCCACCAAAUAUUACGGCCCUCCCCUCUCCCUGCUGCCGCCACCUACACACGCCAACACGAAAACAAAAACUGUACCAGCCCCACUCCACAAACCCGCCGUCUCACCUGAAACCUCAAGCCAUUCAUGUUUCUGUUUUUGUUUCUUCAACAAUGCAAUCCUGAAAGCACUUUGCCUUGUUAUUCCUUUGUGUGAACACGUGAAUGAUAAUUUGUUACAGAAAUGUUAAAUAUGUAAAAGAUCAUUCACUGUUUUGGAAAAACCUGCAUCUGUCUUUCUGACGUUAAAAGAAAAAAAAAAACAAACAGUUUAGUGACAUUAAACCUGAAUCUAUUUUAUAAAAUGUUUGCUGCAGCCAAUUGGUCUUGUCAUUCAGUAUUGUGGCUUAGGGUUGUUUGUGUUCAAUAAAGUGCUAUUGCUAAAUA